GUAGUCGAUGGGAAACAGGUUAAUAUUCCUGUACUUGGUGUUACUGCGAAGGGGGGACGGAGAAGGCUAUGUUGGCCGGGCGACGGUUGUCCCGGUUUAAGCGUGUAGGCUGGUUUUCCAGGCAAAUCCGGAAAAUCAAGGCUGAGGCGUGAUGACGAGGCACUACGGUGCUGAAGCAACAAAUGCCCUGCUUCCAGGAAAAGCCUCUAAGCAUCAGGUAACAUCAAAUCGUACCCCAAACCGACACAGGUGGUCAGGUAGAGAAUACCAAGGCGCUUGAGAGAACUCGGGUGAAGGAACUAGGCAAAAUGGUGC
rnacentral:rRNA from 1 species